rnacentral:rRNA from 1 species
GGGUCAUGAGGCUGGUCGUGCCACCGGUACGUACUGGUCUCACUGAUUCCUCCUUCCUGAAGAACCGUAAUGCCAUUAAUUUGGUGUUGCGGGGAAACAGGACUGUUACUUUGAAAAAAUUAGAGUGUUUAAAGCAAGCUAACGCUUGAAUACAUUAGCAUGGAAUAAUGAAAUAGGACGAUCGAUCCUAUUUUGUUGGUUCCUAGGAUUGACGUA